UUCAACCCUAAGAAUCCUUUAUGUGUGAAUGUCCUUUCACAAAUCAUGCUUUAGUGUGUUUAGGAGAAAUCCUUUCAACAAUACAACAACAAUCAUCAUCAUUGAUACUUUACUCUCAAAGCAUCCUUAAAACAUUUACAUAAAUCUCAUAAAAGCAUGCUAAAUUUCAUAAUCUCCUCUUUCGUAAUUCAAAACCCACAUCACAUCAUCAUAAUUGGAAAACAUGGGAUUGACAUGGGUUCAUGGGGGAAUCAUCAUAAAAUCAUAGUAUUUCAUCAAUUCAUGCAUAAGAGAUCAUAAUUCAAUCAUAUAAAUCAACAUUGAAGAGAACCCAUA
rnacentral:lncRNA from 1 species